rnacentral:rRNA from 1 species
UACGUAGGGUGCAAGCGUUAAUCGGAAUUACUGGGCGUAAAGCGUGCGCAGGCGGUCUUGCAAGACAGAUGUGAAAUCCCCGGGCUCAACCUGGGAACUGCAUCUGUGACUGCAUCGCUAGAGUACGGCAGAGGGGGAUGGAAUUCCGCGUGUAGCAGUGAAAUGCGUAGAUAUGCGGAGGAACACCGAUGGCGAAGGCAAUCCCCUGGGCCUGUACUGACGCUCAUGCACGAAAGCGUGGGGAGCAAACAGG